rnacentral:rRNA from 1 species
UACGGUAGGGGGCAAGCGUUGUCCGGAUUUAUUGGGCGUAAAGAGCGUGUAGGCGGCCAGGUAGGUCUGCUGUGAAAACUCGAGGCUUAACCUCGAGAUGUCGGCGGAAACCAUCUGGCUAGAGUCCGGAAGAGGAGAGUGGAAGUUCCUGGUGUAGCGGUGAAAUGCGCAGAUAUCAGGAAGAACACCCGUGGCGAAGGCGGCUCUCUGGGACGGUACUGACGCUGAGACGCGAAAGCGUGGGGAGCGAACAGG